AUUGAACGCUGGCGGCAGGCCUAACACAUGCAAGUCGAGCGAGCGGCGGACGGGUGAGUAAUGUAUGGGGACUGCCCGCUAGAGGGGGAUAACUACUGGAAACGGUGGCUAAUACCGCAUACUAUCGGAUAACCCAUAUGGGAUUAGAUAGUGGGUGGGGUAAAGGCUCACCUAGGCGACGAUCUCUAGCUGGUCUGAGAGGAUGAUAAGCCACACUGGAACUGAGACGCGGCACAGACUACUACGGAGGCGGCAGUGGAGAAUAUUACACAAUGGAAGCGAGCCUAAUGCGGCCAUGCCACGUGGAUGAAAAGGGCCUUGGGGUUGUAAAGUACUUUCAGCGGGAAGGCGUUACCCGAAGAAGAAGCACCGGCUAACUCCGUGCCAGCAGCCGCGGUAAUAC
rnacentral:rRNA from 1 species